CGCCCAGGGUAGCGAGAUGGUAACUUGCAAGUCCGAGUUCUACCAUGAUGAGUUUAAAAGACUCUACCUGCUUUUCUUCAGUUUCCAGAGCGCUCAGGUAGUUGUAGACUUGUAGAAAAGUU
rnacentral:sRNA from 1 species